ensembl:lncRNA
CAGGUUUACGCUGUUGCUUGAGUUUUAAUUUUGCUCCACAGCUGAAGGCCUGACGCUCUUUGGAUUUUGAUUUUUUGUACUCCAUGAACUGCUUGUAUGACGGACAUGUUUGUUCUGGAUUAAUGAAAAACGUUUGACAUCAAAACGGGGUUAGCACUCUCCAUUACUAAACGUAGACGAGAAUACAGUAUAAGGAAACAGAAACAGAAACCGGAGCCAAAAUGGUAAAUAAACGUGCUAUUUAACUGAAAUAACAUAGACUGUCUGAAGAGAACAAAAAGUGAGUAAUAUAUCAAAAUUACUUUGUUCAGAAUUUUCUGUUUGUUUUGAUGUCCCCGGGGAGUUUGAUCCUUCAGCCUGGUCUGUGUCCCGCAAAAGCUCCAGAGACCGUCCACAGGAAGCACAAAAAGGGGUGAAGAGGCUGAAGCUAACGCCACAAAACGGGCAAAACAUUUUCCGGUUCUCUAUGUAGUGCAGCAAGCACCGUCAGGGUGAUAAGGAAGCGCUGUGAGGUGUGAGUUUCUCAACGUUUGUUGACAUCCCGAAUCACUUUUCUGAGCUACAAAUAUGGAGUAAGCCUAAUCGUUGUGCCACUUCCGGUAUUUCAGACAAUCCCUUUCCGUCAAGGAUUUUUAAUUUGUUGCGGUUUUUUAAUUUGUUGUGGAUUUUUGAUUUGUUGCGGUUUUUUAAUUUGUUGUGGAUUUUUAAUUUGUUGCGGUUUUUUAAUUUGUUGUGGAUUUUUAAUUUGUUGCGGUUUUUUAAUUUGUUGUGGAUUUUUAAUUUGUUGCGGUUUUUUAAUUUGCUGUGGAUUUUUAAUUUGUUGCGGUUUUUUAAUUUGUUGUGGAUUUUUAAUUUGUUGUGGAUUUUUAAUUUGUUGUGGUUUUUUAAUUUGUUGCGGUUUUUUAAUUUGUUCCGGUUUUUUAAUUUGUUGCGGUUUUUUAAUUUGUUGUGGAUUUUUAAUUUGUUGCGGUUUUUUAAUUUGUUGCGCUUUGCACUUCCCAGCCACCGUACAUACAACAUUAACUUUUACUAAAAAAAGUUAUUCCCAACAAGCAGAACAUUAAAGUGCCAAUCUUUUGCUCAUUUAUACAUAAUGUUUUGAGAAGC